AACCUCCGCAAUGUGAGAAAUCGCGACGGGGGGAUCCCAAGUGCCAUUCUUAACGGGAUGGCUUUUCAUUAGUGUAAAGAGCUUUUGGAAUAAGAGCUGGGCAAGACCGGUGCCAGCCGCCGCGGUAACACCGGCAGCUCUAGUGGUAACAAUUUUUAUUGGGCCUAAAGCGUCCGUAGCCGGUUUAAUAAGUCUCUGGUGAAAUCCUGUAGCUUAACUGUGGGAAUUGCUGGAGAUACUAUUAGACUUGAGAUCGGGAGAGGUUAGAGGUACUCCCAGGGUAGAGGUGAAAUUCUGUAAUCCUGGGAGGACCGCCUGUUGCGAAGGCGUCUAGCUGGAACGAUUCUGACGGUGAGGGACGAAAGUUAGGGGCGCGAACCGGAUUAGAUACCCGGGUAGUCCUAACUGUAAACGAUGCGGACUUGGUGUUGGGGUGGCUUUGAGCUGCUCCAGUGCCGAAGGGAAGCUGUUAAGUCCGCCGCCUGGGAAGUACGGUCGCAGGACUGAAACUUAAAGGAAUU
rnacentral:rRNA from 1 species